rnacentral:tRNA from 1 species
GCCGGGGUGCCCGAGCGGUCAAGGGGGUAGGCUCGAGACCUACUGCCCCUAUGGGGCACGCGGGUUCAAAUCCCGCCCCCGGCG